GAGAGAGAGAGAGAGAGAGAGAGAGAGAGAGACUGGGAUGAGCUGGAGGGAUAUAGUCUUUCUUUCUUUCUUUCUUUCUUUCUUUCUUUCUUUCUUUCUUUCUUUCU